rnacentral:rRNA from 1 species
GACGAACGCUGGCGGCGUGCUUAACACAUGCAAGUCGAACGGGAAGGCCCUGCUUUUGUGGGGUGCUCGAGUGGCGAACGGGUGAGUAACACGUGAGUAACCUGCUCUUGAUUUUGGGAUAACUUCAGGAAACUGGGGCUAAUACCGGAUAGGAGCUCCUGCUGCAUGGUGGGGGUGGGAAAGUUUCGGCGGUUGGGGAUGGACUCGCGGCUUAUCAGCUUGUUGGUGGGGUAGUGGCUUACCAAGGCUUUGACGGGUAGCCGGCCUGAGAGGGUGACCGGCGACAUUGGGACUGAGAUACGGCCCAGACUCCUACGGGAGGCAACAGUGGGGAAUAUUGCACAGUGGGCGGAAGUCUGUUGCAGCAACGCCGCGUGCGGGAUGACGGCCUUCGGGUUGUAAACCGCUUUCGCCUGUGACGAAGCGUGAGUGACGGUAAUGGGUAAAGAAGCACCGGCUAACUACGUG